GAUGAACGCUGGCGGCGUGCCUAAUACAUGCAAGUCGAGCGAAGCGGGGACGGGUGAGUAACACGUGGAUAACCUCCUAUAAGACUGGGAUAACUUCGGGAAACCGGAGCUAAACCGGAAACUUAUAGAUGGAUCCGGGCUGCAUUAGCUAGUUGGUAAGGUAACGGCUUACCAAGGCAACGAUGCAUAGCCGACCUGAGAGGUUGAUCAGCCAAACUGGAACUGAGAUACGGUCCAGACUCCUACGGGAGGCAGCAGUGGGGAAUCUUCCGCAAUGGGCGAAAGCCUGACGGAGCAACGCCGCGUGAGUGAUGAAGGUCUUCGGAUCGUAAAGCUCUGUUAUUGGGGAAGCGGUACCUAAACAGAAAGCCACGGCUAACUACGUGCCAGCAGCCGCGUUAAUAC
rnacentral:rRNA from 1 species